UUACGGCCACAUCACGUUGAAACAUCAAUUCCCAUAUGAUCACCGAAGUUAAGCAACGCCGAGAUUGGCCAGUACCUAGAUGGGCGACCGCUUUGGGAUACCAGGUGCCGUAAG